AGGACUUAGCAGAGAUGCUUUGGUGCCUUCGGGAACUCUGAGACAGGUGCUGCAUGGCUGUCGUCAGCUCGUGUUGUGAAAUGUUGGGUUAAGUCCCGCAACGAGCGCAACCCUUUAUCCUUUGUUGCCAGCGGUCCGGCCGGGAACUCAAAGGAGACUGCCAGUGAUAAACUGGAGGAAGGUGGGGAUGACGUCAAGUCAUCAUGGCCCUUACGAGUAGGGCUACACACGUGCUACAAUGGCGCAUACAAAGAGAAGCGACCUCGCGAGAGCAAGCGGACCUCAUAAAGUGCGUCGUAGUCCGGAUUGGAGUCUGCAACUCGACUCCAUGAAGUCGGAAUCGCUAGUAAUCGUAGAUCAGAAUGCUACGGUGAAUACGUUCCCGGGCCUUGUACACACCGCCCGUCACACCAUGGGAGUGGGUUGCAAAAGAAGUAGGUAGCUUAACCUUCGGGAGGGCGCUUACCACUUUGUGAUUCAUGACUGGGGUGAAGUCGUAACAAGGUAAGCGUAGCGAG
rnacentral:rRNA from 1 species